UACAGAGGGUGCGAGCGUUGUUCGGAAUUAUUGGGCGUAAAGGGCGCGUAGGCGGUGCGGUAAGUCACCUGUGAAAUCUCCUGGCUCAACUGGGAGCUUGCAGGCGAAACUGCCGUGCUGGAGUGUGGGAGAGGUGCGUGGAAUUCCCGGUGUAGCGGUGAAAUGCGUAGAGAUCGGAAAGGACACCAACGGCGAAAGCACUCUGCUGGGCCGACACUGACACUGAGAGACGAAAGCUAGGGGAGCGAAUGGG
rnacentral:rRNA from 1 species